GACGAACGCUGGCGGCGUGCCUAACACAUGCAAGUCGAGCGGAGUCAGUAAGAGGAAGUUUUCGGAUGGAAUCUUGUUGAUUUAGCGGCGGACGGGUGAGUAACGCGUGAGCGACCAACCUUGCACAGGGGGAUAACGGACCGAAAGGUUCACUAAUACCGCAUGAGACCACGGUGUUGCAUGACACAGGGGUCAAAGGAGCAAUCCGGUGCAAGACGGGCUCGCGUCCGAUUAGGUAGUUGGAGGGGUAACGGCCCACCAAGCCUAUGAUCGGUAGCCGACCUGAGAGGGUGAUCGGCCACACUGGGACUGAGACACGGCCCAGACUCCUACGGGAGGCAGCAGUGGGGAAUAUUGCGCAAUGGGGGGAACCCUGACGCAGCAACGCCGCGUGAGCGAAGAAGGCCUUCGGGUCGUAAACCUCUGUCAUGGGGAAGAAGUAAGUGACGGUACCCAAGAGGAAGCCCCUGCUAACUACGUG
rnacentral:rRNA from 1 species